rnacentral:rRNA from 1 species
GGGCCCGCACAAGCGGUGGAGCAUGUGGUUUAAUUCGAUGAUACGCGAGGAACCUUACCAGGGCUUAAAUGUAAGUUGCAUAGAUCAGAGAUGGUCUUUUCUUCGGACUACUUACAAGGUGCUGCAUGGUUGUCGUCAGCUCGUGCCGUGAGGUGUCAGGUUAAGUCCUAUAACGAGCGCAACCCCCUGUCGUUAGUUACCAGCAAGUAAUGUUGGGUACUCUAGCGAGACUGCCGGUGCAAACCGUGAGGAAGGUGGGGAUGACGUCAAAUCAUCACGGCCCUUACGUCCUGGCCACACACGUGCUACAAUGGCCGAGACAAAGAGUCGCAAGUUUGCAAAGACAAGCUAA